CAAUAGCGUAUAUUAAAGUUGUUGCAGUUAAAAAGCUCGUAGUUGGAUUUCUGAAUUGAAUAUCCGGUCCGCUCGUCUCUGAUGAGUGCGUACUUAUGGAUAUUGGAUUCAUUUUUUGUGAGGACAUUUAUCUGUCAUUAAGUUGAUGGAUUUAUAGACUUGCAUCGUUUACUGUGAAAAAAUUAGAGUGUUUAAAGCAGGCGUUCGCCCAUUUGAAUACAUUAGCAUGGAAUAAUAAGAUAUGACUUUGGUGGUCUAUUUUGUUGGUUUGCACACCAGAGUAAUGAUUAAGAGGGACAGUCGGGGGCAUUCGUAUUCCGUUGUCAGAGGUGAAAUUCUUGGAUUUACGGAAGACGAACAUCUGCGAAAGCAUUUGCCAAGGAUGUUUUCAUUGA
rnacentral:rRNA from 1 species